AAUCGUUUACGAAGAAGUCAGAAAUCAAUAAAAAAGUUUUACAAUUAGGUCAUCAAAAAACAUUAUUUAACACUUUGAUUUUAUUUUUUAAACAAUUUUGAAAUUUUCUUAUAUUGAAUUCCAUUUUUAGGGUUCCUUCCUCUUUUAUAUGUUGUUUAAUAUUCAAAAAAAAUACUUUUUCUGGCGUAGCUUUUCAACCUGACACACUCAAGCUGGAUCUAAUUGACGAAAUUUUUUUUUAAACUAAUGCUUUUAUUCGCAAAAUUAGAAAAACUUUUAUUUUCCAACCACUGGCACUGUUUUGUUGUAAAAAGUAUAUAAAAUUUUGAAUACAAAAUCAUAGAAUGUGGAAAUACGGGACAUUUACGGGAAAUUGAUAUGAAAAAAUAAUAAUAAAAUAUCAAAAAAAAAUUCCAAAAUGUGACAUUUAAAUAUCAUCCUGAUAAUAAAAAUAUUGUUUUAACAUUUUAAAUAUCAUAAAACACAUUUUAUAGAGCAUUUUUGGCUGAUAUUUAAAAAAAUGUUAAAUUGAUAUUGGUUUUUUUUUUUUCGGUGUAUCAUUUCAGUAAUUGAAAUUGAUUUCAAUAUGAACAACUGAUUUUCGUUUCCGAAUUUGGAAGACGAAUCACUUUCUGUUCUCAUCAUCAACUCUAGCCUCAAAUAUCUACCUCAAGUAGUUAAUUUCACUGACCGGCCCACAAUGAUACCUGUAAAUUUAAUUUUGGAGCUGUCCUUAAUAUAACGUUAAAUUGUUGCACUACGAAGACGUCUAGCAGUCUUGGAGUCUGUGAAAAAAAUGACUAAAAGGAUAAAUGGAAAUCUAUAAAAUACUUGUGUACAAAAAUACAACAUUGUACAAAAAUUUCAAAAUAAAUUUCUUUGUCGAAUAAUAA